CAGCCGAAUUGCGGAACCCCCUGAGGCUGCUGCCGCCUGACAACUUUCUUGGACUGUGGACCUGAGGGCAUAACAUAUUGAAGAAACCCAGCAAUUUCUAACUGGUUAUCAUGUUGAGUUCAUUUAUUUGAAACAGACGGGGCCAACGUCCACCCUGAAUUCUUGCACUUCAGAGAAUUUCCAAAGGCAAGAUCUGAUAAGAAUCCUCAAGAUUUGCCAUCUGAAUUUAAAUCAAGGUAG